rnacentral:rRNA from 1 species
UUCGCCCUACGGGAGGCAGCAGUGGGGAAUUUGGCCAAUGGGGGCAACCCUGAUCCAGCCAACCCGGGGGGGGAAGAAGGCCUUCGGUUGUAAAGCCCUUUAUCGGGGAAGAAAUGGCUCGGGCUAAUACCCCUGCGGCUGACGGUACUAGCAGAGAAGCAUGCUAUUUUC